AAAAUUGGAAAGAUAAAUAGCUUAACUGGGUGCAGCCUCUCUAACUUGGCUCCCUACAUCUGUUUGCAGUUGGCUGUGCCUGGAAGGGGUCAGGAGUGCAGACAAAGCAGCAGGAAGCCCCUCAGGGCUUGUAGGGCAGAGAUGGGGCAGAGCUUUGAGUCCCAGCUCUGCUCCUGCCAUUGGUCUAAACCAGGACCCAGAGGAGAGAGGGAGAAGAUUGUGGGUUGUGCAGCUGCUGUUAGAUGUUUUCUAUGUCGUAAGACUCUGGAGGGAGGUGGAAACUGAACCCUCACCCACAAAGCCAGCACUGUGUGGAGUGGGAGAAGUUUAGGUGGUGGAGACUUGAGGUCUUAGUCCAAGCCCUGGAACCUUCAGCUUUGCAUAACCUGGGUGAGCUAAGAAAAGUUGGGCCACCUCCCAUCACUGUUAGGAUC
rnacentral:lncRNA from 1 species